rnacentral:rRNA from 1 species
UACGUAGGGUGCGAGCGUUAAUCGGAAUUACUGGGCGUAAAGCGUGCGCAGGCGGUCUGUUAAGACCGAUGUGAAAUCCCCGGGCUUAACCUGGGAACUGCAUUGGUGACUGGUAGGCUUUGAGUGUGGCAGAGGGAGGUAGAAUUCCACGUGUAGCAGUGAAAUGCGUAGAGAUGUGGAGGAAUACCGAUGGCGAAGGCAGCCUCCUGGGCCAACACUGACGCUCAUACACGAAAGCGUGGGGAGCAAACAGG